rnacentral:rRNA from 1 species
UACGUAGGGUGCGAGCGUUAAUCGGAAUUACUGGGCGUAAAGCGUGCGCAGGCGGUUCGGUAAGUCCGUUGUGAAAGCCCUGGGCUCAACCUGGGAACUGCGAUGGAUACUGAGGAGCUGGAGUACGGUAGAGGAAGGUGGAAUUCCCGGUGUAGCAGUGAAAUGCGUAGAUAUCGUAAGGAAGACCAGUGGCGAAGGCGAGUCUCUGGACAGUUACUGACGCUGAGGCACGAAGGUCAGGGGAGCAAACGGG